rnacentral:rRNA from 1 species
UACGGGGGGGGCAAGCGUUGUUCGGAAUUACUGGGCGUAAAGGGCUCGUAGGCGGCCCACUAAGUCCGACGUGAAAUCCCAAGGCUUAACCUUGGAACUGCGUCGGAUACUGGAUGGCUUGAAUUCGGGAGAGGGAUGCAGAAUUCCGGGUGUAGCGGUGAAAUGCGUAGAUAUCUGGAGGAACACCGGUGGCGAAGGCGGCAUCCUGGACCGAUACUGACGCUGAGGAGCGAAAGCCAGGGGAGCAAACAGG